UACGUAGGGUGCGAGCGUUGUCCGGAAUUAUUGGGCGUAAAGAGCUUGUAGGCGGUCUGUCGCGUCUGCUGUGAAAAUCCGGGGCUCAACUUCGGGCUUGCGGUCGAUACGGGCGGGCUAGAGUUCGGUAGGGGAGACUGGAAUUCCUGGUGUAGCGGUGAAAUGCGCAGAUAUCAGGAGGAACACCGGUGGCGAAGGCGGGUCUCUGGGCCGAUACUGACGCUGAGGAGCGAAAGCGUGGGGAGCGAACAGG
rnacentral:rRNA from 1 species